GUUAUAAUGUUGGAAUUGGUAGACAAUUAACACUUAAAAUGUUAUGCUUUAUAAGCGUGGGAGUUCAAAUCUCUCUUAUAACA
rnacentral:tRNA from 1 species